ensembl:snoRNA
CCCUCCUAUAAAGGUGCCUUGGGUUCCUUGUCUUUGGACAUGUAAGAAUUGGAGGCAAAAGAAAUUGUGGAUUUGGUGACAUCUGGGCCAGCUUGUUGCCUGCAGGCUCCAAAUCAACCAUCUCACAUAA